UAGGGAAUCUUCCACAAUGGACGAAAGUCUGAUGGAGCAACGCCGCGUGAGUGAAGAAGGGUUUCGGCUCGUAAAACUCUGUUGUUAAAGAAGAACAUAUCUGAGAGUAACUGUUCGGUAUUGACGGUAUUUAACCAGAAAGCCACGGCUAACUACGUGCCAG
rnacentral:rRNA from 1 species